GAUUAUCUUGGAAAAGUUACAGGAGAACGUCAAGUGUAUGGUUUCCUUUUGUUUGCUUCUUAAUAGCCCAAAGUACUUUGUCAAGUUAAAGCUGGGGCAGUGUCUUUUGGUAAAAUGAAGUCACUUCAGAUACUUAUAUGCUUUGCUAUUGGCGAAUCAGUAGUCAAAGGUAUCAUUGUCCUGCGAGUUUAUGCACUUUGAGUAGUAC
rnacentral:lncRNA from 1 species